CCCUAGUUGGUAAGUGACCAUAGAUGAGUAAAAAAUGAGGUUGUUUUAGUAAAAAUGUGUG
rnacentral:sRNA from 1 species